rnacentral:rRNA from 1 species
AUUGAACGCUGGCGGCAGGCCUAACACAUGCAAGUCGAACGGUAACAGGGAUCAGCUUGCUGAUUCGCUGACGAGUGGCGGACGGGUGAGUAAUGUCUGGGAAACUGCCUGAUGGAGGGGGAUAACUACUGGAAACGGUAGCUAAUACCGCAUAACGUCGCAAGACCAAAGAGGGGGACCUUCGGGCCUCUUGCCAUCGGAUGUGCCCAGAUGGGAUUAGCUAGUAGGUGGGGUAACGGCUCACCUAGGCGACGAUCCCUAGCUGGUCUGAGUGGAUGACCAGCCACACUGGAACUGAGACACGGUCCAGACUCCUACGGGAGGCAGCAGUGGGGAAUAUUGCACAAUGGGCGCAAGCCUGAUGCAGCCAUGCCGCGUGUAUGAAGAAGGCCUUCGGGUUGUAAAGUACUUUCAGCGGGGAGGAAGGGAGUAAAGUUAAUACCUUUGCUCAUUGACGUUACCCGCAGAAGAAGCACCGGCUAACUCCGUG